rnacentral:lncRNA from 1 species
GGCAUGACUGUUAUUAAUUAAGAUUUGCUCUAAACCUGAACUUGUGGGGAGAGUACUUGAUCUAAAGUCUAAGUCGUUAACGGAUACGAUAUGGGAAGGUUGAGCUGCUGUUUAUCUGUUCCUAGAGAUGCUAAAAUUCUGGAGAAUUUUAUCUUUGAAAAUCUUUAAAAUGUUGCAUGAUGAGUUCCUGUAUGAUGAGAGUUUAAAUUCCUACCACAGCCAUAUAUACAUGCU